AAACCCAUCAAAUGCAACAGCAACACUGAACACAGGAAGCUUUCGUCCCCUAAACCCUCAAGCUCCAAAACCCUGAAGAAAUGCUCCGAUCAAUUCUCCGAACAGCCGCUACGGCGGCGAAAUCCCACCCCACCACCUCCGACAUCCUCAUACCCGCUGCAAUCGCAGCACCUUCCAAACUCUCUUCUUUUAGAACCUUCGCAAAAGGCCCACACCCGAACAAACCCAAUUUUAGACCCGACAUGAAACCCGACAAUGCCGCUACCGGAGCCAAAGGCGCUGAAUCGCUCAAUAAGGAUCUUCGUGCACGCGCUCUCAAAGAAGACGAGAAGGAUGAAUCCCUUAAUAUCGGUCCAAAUGGUCGUCCCUUAUUCACUUCCGCAGCUUCUAUUUCACAACUCACCAAAAAAGACACGUGUACUUACCUGAAAUUCAGGCGGGAGGAACUGGAAAGUGUUUUGCCAGAAGGAUUAUCAAAUGGGAUGUUGAAGGAAUUUGGUGACUCAAUGAGAGAUGCAUUGCUAAUACGGCAGAGUUUUCUGGAUCUUCGAGAUAAUUUUAGAAGUAUUGUUGAUCCUACAAUGCAGUCUAAUGCUAAAGGUCACAAAGCUCGAAAGCAAGUUGUACUAGAUGGGCCUGUAAGUUGUGGAAAGAGCAUUGCCCUUGCAAUGCUUGUUCAUUGGGCGCGUGAUGAAGGUUGGCUAGUUCUUUACGUUCCAAAAGGCCGAGAAUGGACUCAUGGAGGCUUUUUCUAUAAAAAUCCUAAAACAGGAUUAUGGGAUACUCCUGUGCAAGCAGCAAAUAUUCUCCAGGAUUUUUUGAAGUAUAAUAAGGAUCACCUCCAAAAGUUGCCCUGCAAGAUUUUUGAACCUAUUCCAUUGGGAGAGGGAGCUGGUGUUGGAUGGAUGAAGGGUGCUGAUGUGGUACAAAUACCAGAAGAUUAUACUCUGCUUGACCUGGUUCAGGUCGGACUUAGUUCCACGCACGCCGCUGUUGGGGUGGUAGUUCGUUUAAGGGAAGAAUUAUCACUUGUGAAGGACGUGCCUGUUCUUAUUGCAGUUGAUCAAUACAACAGUUGGUUCACGUUCAGCGAGUAUGAGGAGCCAGUAACUGUUCGGUCUUGCCGACCUAUUCAUGCUAAGGAANUAAGGAGCUUGCAACUGUAAGAUGUGAAUGCAUUUAGAUCUAUGAUUCACGACAAUAUGAUGGUGGGUGCUUUCUCACAUUCAACUGCUGUAGGGAAGCUGCGUAAAGACUUACCAGGUGUUCCUGCAGAUGCUCGCAUCAACUUCCCACGAUAUAGUGUGGAUGAAGCUGCGGUCGUUUGUCAUUACUACCUUAGACAAAGACUCAUCCAACGUGAGGCAUUUACAGAAGAAAACUGGAAGAAAAUCUAUUAUCUGUCACAUGGAAAUGGCGCAGAAAUGAGAUGGCUGGUUCCUUUCAUGCGAUGAGCAGUGUAAACUCACCUCCGAGAGAUAACAUUGAGAUUUUAACAGGGAAAUUAUUGAAUCUGUUAAUGCUCUGCGAUUCUGGUCAUUCUCAGCAAAUAAUAAUCUGGCUGCUCUAUUGACCAAAUCUCUGGAGAAAACAGUGAGGUUUUACUUCUGGAAAGUUGCUCUGUAUUCUAGGCUAGUUAUAUAGCCUGUGUUUGUAUGCUUUCAUAUCCAGAACAUUGUCACCGAUUCAUAUAUAAAUCUUCACACUAGCUAUUCUUCUUUCGUUUUAUUUUACGACUUGUUUCCCUCAUCGGGUGUUUGUAUUCAAUAAUGUUGUAACUGCACCACAUAUUUUACCUUCUGAAGUUCAGGUUUUAUCCUUUAAACUUGCA